AUUGAACGCUGGCGGCAGGCCUAACACAUGCAAGUCGAACGAGUGGCGGACGGGUGAGUAAUGUCUGGGAAACUGCCCGAUGGAGGGGGAUAACUCCUGGAAACGGUAGCUAAUACCGCAUCCCAUCGGAUGUGCCCACAUGGGAUUAGCUAGUAGGUGGGGUAACGGCUCACCUAGGCGACGAUCCCUAUCUGGUCUGAGAGGAUGACUAGCCAAACUGGAACGGAGACACGGUCCAGACUCCUACGGGAGGCAGCAUUGGGGAUGAUUGCACAAUGGGCGCAAGCCUGAUGCAGCCAUGCCGCGUGUAUGAAGAAGGCCUUCGGGUUGUAAAGUACUUUCAGCGGGGAGGCGUUACCCGCAGAAGAAGCACCGGCGAACUCCGUGCCAGCAGCCGCGGUAAUUC
rnacentral:rRNA from 1 species